UACGGAGGGAGCUAGCGUUGUUCGGAAUUACUGGGCGUAAAGCGCACGUAGGCGGCUUUGUAAGUUAGAGGUGAAAGCCCGGGGCUCAACCCCGGAAUUGCCUUUAAGACUGCAUCGCUUGAAUCCGGGAGAGGUGAGUGGAAUUCCGAGUGUAGAGGUGAAAUUCGUAGAUAUUCGGAAGAACACCAGUGGCGAAAGGCGGCUCACUGGACCGGGUAUUGACGCUGAGGUGCGAAAGCGUGGGGAGCAAAACAGG
rnacentral:rRNA from 1 species